ACCACCUCGCACCUAUCGCACACAACAAAACACAAUACAACACCGCACCCAAAUCAUUCCACAAUCGAAUAACACAGAAACCUCUCGGCCACCAAAAUCAGGAAAAAGAUUUGGGAUGUAGCAAGGAGGAUCACGCAGUAGACCCACCACAUCUCGCAGCAGCAAACAUCAGAUCGUGUAACAAUCUCAUUGGCGGUGAUUUCCAGUAGUGGCUUCCAGCAACAGCGAGUUCGCAAUAGCCUCCCGACGAUGGCGAGUUCACAACAGUUGGACGACGAUUGUGGUUUUGAGAGGUUUGGUGGUUGUAAUGGGGAGAGUGAUUGUGGUUGUUGCAGUUAUGGUGGUUGCCAUAGGUGGGAUGAGAUCGCCGCUGGAGAAGGGUGUGAGGGAUAGAGAGAGAGAUGAGCAGGG
rnacentral:lncRNA from 1 species